GUGUCAGCAGCCGCGGUAAGACAGAGGGUGCAAACGUUGUUCGGAUUUACUGGGCGUAAAGCGCGUGUAGGCGGCCUUGCAAGUUGGAUGUGAAAGCCCACGGCUCAACCGUGGAAGCGCAUCCAAAACUGCAUCGCUCGAGUCUCGGAGAGGAAGGUGGAAUGCUUGGUGUAGAGGUGAAAUUCGUAGAUAUCAAGCAGAACACCUGCGGCGAAGGCGGCCUUCUGGACGAUGACUGACGCUGAGACGCGAAAGCGUGGGGAGCAAACAGGAUUAGAAACCCGCGUAGUCC
rnacentral:rRNA from 1 species